rnacentral:pre_miRNA from 1 species
UUAUUACUCCCUUCGUUCCGAAUUAUUUGUCGCAGGUAUUAAUGUAUCUAGAUGUAUUUUAGUUCUAGAUACAUCUAUUUCUGCGACGAGUAAUUUGAAACGGAGGGAUACUAA